rnacentral:rRNA from 1 species
UGAGUAACGCGUGAGCAACCUGUCCCUUACAGGGGGAUAACACAGCGAAAGUUGUACUAAUACCGCAUGAGACCACGGGAGGACAUCCUCCAGGGGUCAAAGGAGCAAUCCGGUAAGGGGUGGGCUCGCGUCCGAUUAGAUAGUUGGUGAGGUAACGGCCCACCAAGUCGACGAUCGGUAGCCGACCUGAGAGGGUGAUCGGCCACAUUGGGACUGAGACACGGCCCAAACUCCUACGGGAGGCAGCAGUGGGGAAUAUUGGGCAAUGGGGGGAAACCCUGACCCAGCAACGCCGCGUGAGGGAAGAAGGUUUUCGGAUCGUAAACCUCUGUCCUUGGUGAAGAGGAAGAGACGGUAGCCAAGGAGGAAGCCCCGGCUAACUACGUGCCAGCCGCCGC